GUCCACGCCUAACGAUGAUUACUCGACAUUGGCGAUAUACAGAUCAGUGUCUGAGCGAAAGCGUUAAGUAAUCCACCUGGGAGUACGCUCGCAAGAGUGAAACUCAAAGGAAUUGACGGGUCCGCACAAGCGGUGAGCAUGUGGUUUAAUUCGAUGAUACGCGAGGAACCUUACCAGGGCUAGAAUGUGAUUGGACGAUUGCUGAAAGGUGAUUUUCUCCGCAAGGAGACCGAUUACAAGGUGCUGCAUGGCUGUCGU
rnacentral:rRNA from 1 species